rnacentral:rRNA from 1 species
UACGGGGGGGGGCAAGCGUUGUUCGGAAUUACUGGGCGUAAAGGGCUCGUAGGCGGCCAACUAAGUCGAACGUGAAAUCCCCAGGCUCAACCUGGGAACUGCGUCCGAUACUGGCAGGCUUGAAUCCGGGAGAGGGAUGUGGAAUUCCAGGUGUAGCGGUGAAAUGCGUAGAUAUCUGGAGGAACACCGGUGGCGAAGGCGGCAUCCUGGACCGGUAUUGACGCUGAGGCGCGAAAGCUAGGGGAGCAAACGGG